UGGGGAAUUUUGGACAAUGGGGGAAACCCUGAUCCAGCCAUCCCGCGUGUGCGAUGAAGGCCUUCGGGUUGUAAAGCACUUUUGGCAGGAAAGAAACGUCGCGGGUUAAUACCCCGCGGAACUGACGGUACCUGCAGAAUAAGCACCGGCUAACUACGUGCCAGCAGCCGCGGUAAUACGUAGGGUGCAAGCGUUAAUCGGAAUUACUGGGCGUAAAGCGUGCGCAGGCGGUUCGGAAAGAAAGAUGUGAAACCCCAGAGCUUAACUUUGGAACUGCAUUUUUAACUACCGGGCUAGAGUGUGUCAGAGGGAGGUGGAAUUCCGCGUGUAGCAGUGAAAUGCGUAGAUAUGCGGAGGAACACCGAUGGCGAAGGCAGCCUCCUGGGAUAACACUGACGCUCAUGCACGAAAGCGUGGGGAGCAAACAGGAUUAGAUACCCUGGUAGUCCACGCCCUAAACGAUGUCAACUAGCUGUUGGGGUCUUCGGACCUUGGUAGCGCAGCUAACGCGUGAAGUUGACCGCCUGGGGAGUACGGUCGCAAGAUUAAAACUUAAAUGAAUUGACGGGGUCAUAGCUGUUU
rnacentral:rRNA from 1 species